rnacentral:lncRNA from 1 species
UGAAAAAAAAUAAAUAGAUAAUCUUACCUUAAGAAUCGCAAAACAAAAUGGGACAACCUUGUACACUUCAAGAAUUCAGCUCCUUAGAUCUAACCUACUGAUUAAAAUUAUUUGUUUCCUCUAGGCUCCAGAUGAUAACAAAAACAUCGCAAACUUCAAAUAGAAAAAUACAAUUGAGCAUAGUAGAAUUUGACAAAAAAAUUCAAAAAAAUCAAAAUAAAAAUGAAAAAAAUAAUCCAAUCAAAUUAUAAAUGACCACCACAGCAGAGGUAAAAGAAGCACAAAGUAGAAACAAGAACAAUGGCCUCCACCACAUAUACAAUCUUGAAAAUAACAUCAUCAACUAGCCAUAUUUGAAAAUUUACACCCUUCCAUUUUAGGGAAGAGGAGAACCUCCAUGGCCGCCACUCUCUGCUCAGUUUCUUCAUUGACCAAAUCCUCUUCAUCUCUCUCUGCGGGUGUCAUUUUCGAGGGGUGUGUGUGUAUUUUAUAUAUGGUGCACAAUGCUAUGGGCAUAGGUUACAUCACUGGUGAGAAAGGAUACCGCUGGCCGAGGCUCAAAUGAG